rnacentral:pre_miRNA from 1 species
UGUAUGAUUAGCAUUUUUAUUAAUCAUCCCUCUUAUUUAAAAUUUUGUAUGAUUAGCAUUUUUAUUGUUAUUAGGUGAUAAAAUAUGAAUAGUACUUUAUACGUGAGAACGUGAUUUAUGCUUUUUAAUUUGGUAAAAAAAAAUUAAAUAGGACAGACAAUUAAAAUUGGACACGGAAACUCAUGGCUGCGUUUAAA